CAGGAAGUAUAACGCAAAGGAGCUGAUUGAGAUGGCACAGGCUUUGGCAAUACCAGGUGAUGUCAGAAACAGUUUUGAAUUUAUCGUAUCAUUCGAGCACGACUUUGGAAGAAUAACUGGGAUAGCUGCCACAAGAAAGCGAAACAAAUGUAUAUUACUUUGUGAUUAUUUGAAAAAAAAUCUGGUAUUGGUAGAUUCACGAGGAAAGUAUAUGAAUAGUCUUCCAACAGAAAGUGAACCAUAUGAUGUUGCUAUCACGUGGAGAAAUAUUGGAUAUGUGACUUUGCCUAAUGCAAGAUCUGUUCUGCAGGUAGACCCAGAACUGAUGGUUGUUUUAAUGAAAACAACAUGUCCUGAUCUUAAUACUUCCGUAUUAUGUCUUUCAUGUAUACCAUCUGGUGAAAAAAGGAAUGCUGCCGAUGAUUAUUCAGAAUCUUGUAUUGUUGCUGUAGUUUCAAAAGGCGCAUCGUAUGCAGUUCAGAUUAGUCCUUACCAAAUGAACCUUUCGACAGAAGAGUUAAGAUCAUUUCACGGUGGAUCAGUUAUUGCAAACAUUUUACCGUUUGACAAUUUGGUUGCAAAGUUUCAUAUGUUGUCCAUCAAUGAUGUCAUUUAUUGUAAAAGUGGUCAAGAUUACAUAGUUAAGGAAGCUCUUGGCCAGACUUUAAUUUCUAACCGCAAACAAAUGCAUAUUCCUAACAUAGAAGUACCAAGUGAUGUAUGCUCUGAUGAUUAUGGUAACAUUUACGUCAGUGGAAAGGGAUCCAACACUAUACAUAGAUUGACGGAGGAAGGAAAGGUUCUUGACAUUCCAUUGGCUAGUCAACACGGGAUAAAACAACCCAUCGCUAUCUGUUUCAACCAUGAUUACACUAAAUUUUAUAUUGCUAAUGAAUGGGGAAGAAAAGUCCUUGUAUUUAGAGUUCAUUGAUUAUUAGGCUAACACAUUUUAGUGAGUUACGUUAGUGCUUGUUACGUAUUAACUGUAUGUAAUCUUACGUAAUAUUUUUGUAUGUGUAGAAUUCUUCUCAAAGUUGAACAUAUUUAGUGUGAAAUUGUAUGUAUUUGAAUAUUUUGUAAUAUACAAGUAUUUGCAGAUUGUUUUGGAAGUUAAAUCAAAUUGUUUAGAAAACAAAAAUGGAUAUGGUUUAUUGAUUCAAACUGGAUGUAUGCUUUUCUCUGUUUCAAUAGUAUCGAUUUAUAUAACUUUACUAGCCACUUAACUUUAGCUGAUGUAAAUCUCUCGAUUUAAUAUACAGUAUGUACAGUAACUGUUCACUAAUUGAUAUACCCUUAUGUUAGUAAUCAUGCUCGAGUAAUCAUGCCCUCACAUGAUGGGCCCUCAAUUGGUUUAAUGAAAAGAUGUAUAGUAUAGGAUGUUAACGUAGAUAACCAAUUAAUACAGCUAACAUGAAUGAUUGAUUGAUUGUUUGUGUUUAACGGCAUUUUUUGCACUCUUGACUAUAUCAUGGCGGUCCGGAGGAAGUCGAAGUGGCCAUUGAGAACCACCGUGAGAUUCAAUUUCCCGCAUUUUUUUGUACCCCGAAAAGCUGUAUCCAGGUUAAAAACUCAUUUUUUCACACUAUUCCACUGCUACAUGUAUACUAGCUUAUAGAUUUCUGUCUACUUGUAACUCCUACUAGAUUUAGGAGAAGACCAAAUCCUCGUAUCAUCGAGUCGAACGACUCGUGUCCAUUUUACCACGAGAUCCCAUAAUCCUGAUGUUCCUUUAUAUCGCUCUAUAUCCAUCAUGAUAGCAUCCCCAUCAAAGGUGAUGUGGUCUUUCCCGAUGAAAAUCGCAAGCCAAACGCGUCAGUGGUCAGCGUGAAUGGAGAUACUGAUAUACAGGGGGUCUUAGAAAAGGCAAUGCAUCGUCAAACUCAGCAGAUGUGUGUUAUGUCUAUACUGGAAUAUGUAGCAUUGCUAAAAUGUCUUCUAUUAAUUUGGUGAUAUGAGAAGUCGUUUCCUUUUGUGCCUUAAAGGACAUUAACCACAGGUUCAAUGCUUUGAAAAUGUAUUACCGUAAUAUGUAACUACUAGUACGAUGAGUUUAUUUACAAAUGAAAAUUAAAUUUUAUAAAUUU